rnacentral:rRNA from 1 species
UACGGAGGGGGCGAGCGUUAUUCGGAAUUAUUGGGCGUAAAGGGCUCGUAGGCGGCCAACUAAGUCAGACGUGAAAUCCCUCGGCUUAACCGGGGAACUGCGUCUGAUACUGGAUGGCUUGAGGUUGGGAGAGGGAUGCGGAAUUCCAGGUGUAGCGGUGAAAUGCGUAGAUAUCUGGAGGAACACCGGUGGCGAAGGCGGCAUCCUGGACCAAUUCUGACGCUGAGGAGCGAAAGCCAGGGGAGCAAACGGG